UUCAGUUCUCAAGAAUCAAGACUAAAACAGUACCGCCAAUUCAGCAUUUUAUUGUACCACUUGUCCCAGCCAGUGAGAUCAUAGUAAAAAUAAUAGCAAAAUAUUGAGAAAGGAUAACCUGCAAUACUUUAUUCCAUCUCUGUGUGCAUAACAGAAACAGAACUGGUGAACAUGAUAAAGCAAAAGGUAUUUAGAAUCUAACUACAGCCCCUUAGUUUUCAAGGCUGAUGCCCUACCAUUGAGCUAUGGGGACUUGCAUAUCUUAUGUUCCUGCAUAUAUUUUAUUUUACCAAUAAUUAAUGGGACCACUACAAAAGCCAAAGGUGUCUAUAAGCAAAUCACAUGUAAAGCAAACUAAAUAUAAAAUUUUGCUAGGCAACUUGUAUCUUACAUCCAUUGUUUUAUUCUAUCCUAUCCUACGUCCACAGAUAAGAACAAUGAAGGAAUGGCAAACAAAAAGGUCCCUAAAACAAAAGGGUCCCUUAGGGACUUGUUUGUAUUAUAUUCACAAUGAGAAUUUUUUUCCUACCAAUUGAUUAUUGCCAUAAUAAAAACAAAGGUUCCUUUCAUUUGUCAUAUAUGCUUGAUAAGACCAUAAGCAAAAUAAAUGUUCUUGUAUGACUAUAUUAAAAAGGCAUCUUCAUGCACAACGAUUCCUGCUUAGCAAGAAUGGUGGGAGUUUAUCCAGUCUGCAAUAUUACCUUGAGAUCAGUGGAAACACAACAAAAAUCGUAGGCACCCAGCGGACAUCUGCUUCUUAUGAUUUCUAUGAAAUCUGAUUCCAUCAUUAGCUAAAGGAACUAAAUAUAUAAACAAAGGUUCCCAUGUGUUUAUAAACCCAAGACCAUAACAAAGACCAACAACAGACCUCUGCUUCCCUUCCCAUUUUUUCUAUGAUAAUUAAUUGUAUCAUUAACUAAAGGGUCCACAAACAGAAGUCACCAUUUAUUUUGACAUGUAAGACAAUUUAAAAAAAAACAAAAAAACAAAGGCGCCCAUGUCUUGUAUGGUGGUGAACUUGAAAAAAAUCCAAAGGUCCCCAUGUAGAAUCGAACUACAGCCCUUCAGUUUUAAAGACUGACUCUCUACCAUUGAGCUAUAGGGACUUGCUUUGUAAUUCCCUAAAAUAUUUUAUUAUACCAUUGAAUGAGAACAUGCUAGAAGUCAAAACUAAAGAUCCUUAUGUAAGCAUAACAAAAACUGACGGUUCCUAUAUUAAGCUCCAGUCAGCAUAGGCAAGUCAGUAGAUGGCCAUGUGGUUAUUAUUAUUGACAGAAAUUUCUAUCAGUUUUCUGUCAGUAAUUCAUAUAAAAAUAGCAUCUAAUAAUAAUAGAGAAGGCUUGUAACUGAAAUCCAUUAUCAGAAUUAAUACAA
rnacentral:misc_RNA from 1 species